rnacentral:lncRNA from 7 species
GCAGAGGUAAUGCCUUCACAGUUGAAAUAACCACCAGUGUUUGACUGAGGCUGAGAAAACUGGCAAAGUAACUUGACAAUGAGUUACGUCAAGCAGUCAGUAACAGAUUUAAGAGGUGAUGGUAUGUGAUGCUCUCUUUCUAUCUCUUGAGAGUAAUCAAGGAGGAAAAAUUCAUGGGCAUCUUUUUUACGUUUCCAAACAAGGACAAUUACAGGAAACUUCAAAAAACAGCUGUCAAAACAUCAGUCCUUGUAAUCUUGUCUGUUUAGAGGUUAAUAUAAGGUGUUAUUUAGGAAUGUAUACAUUAUGUCCUUCAUGUCUUACCAUGAAAAUUUGGAAAGAAUACUAAGUAGGUCUUAGUUUGCAAAACUAAUUGCCGAAACUCCCAGAUCCUGUUUGCAUCUUUACCAUCCAUUUGUUGAAUGACCUUGAUUUGAAGUAUGUAUUCCUUUUACUUAACUACUUUCAAAGUGACUAUAAUAACAAUGUCACAUGACACGGGGACUCCCUCAAUUUUUAUUAUAUACUUUGAAGUCCUUAAAAACAAACAAAAAAUAUGAAUGCUACUUCAGAAGUGGCUGAAUUCAUUUUAACUCAUAAUUACAAAAAGAAAAAAGCCUCAGUCUUAGUUUGAUUAAAAAUAUGAAUAAAUUUUUUU